rnacentral:lncRNA from 1 species
AACAAAUAAGAAAACCAACUAGAACAGCAACCGACUAGCAAGAAAUCAUCGGAAAAAACAAUUGCCGUAGCUCUGAUACCAUGUUGAAAUGAUCACUCUCAUACAUCCUUCAAUACUAAUAGUAUGUUUACAUUUAUAGACUUUUGUUUAACAAACUAACUUGCUUAUACCUAACUCUGCUAACUACUAACUGUCUUAGCUUCUCAACAAUGAGAAACCCUUCUCUAGCUAUGGGGGAGAAACAGAUUCAAAGACAUUGGUGGGUCGUGCUUGUGAAUGCAGAAGAAUUAGAUGAGUUCUCGAACAACUGCGGACAUCUCCUUCAAGCCAUUGGUACUGCAGACAGUUCCAUAGUUUUCAGUAGUCCAAAGUUGCAGUUCCAAAAUACCCGUAGUAAGAGUUAAUAUUGGGAGGAUUGGCGACCGACUUUCGUGUUUCUAAAAUUGCUGUUCCCUCCAUUGAUAGUAUUUAUGUUGUCUUGUUUGUGUUCUUUGAUGUUCCUGUUUGUAAAUGGCGGAGGCCUGUCUGUUUGUUUGUAAGCAGCUGUAUCAUUGUGUUGGUAAAACGGCUGUAAACCUAUCGUGUUCUUUUUUGUUCAAUGAGCUUAUAUACUUAAUUUACGUGAAAAGGGCGGAUUCAGUUUAUGUUUUUGUACCAUAAUAAUAAUAAUAAUAAUAAUAAACGAAUCUUUA